rnacentral:rRNA from 1 species
ACGUGAAACCGUUCAGGGGUAAACCCGAGAAACCCGAAAGUUCGAACGUGGACAUUCAUCGGGUAUCGGUUCCGGGACCGUGUGCGUGUGACGACGGGCGGCGUUCGCGCCGGUCCGCGUCGACGCAUGCGGCUGCUCGGAUCGGUCCCGUGCACUUGUCCGCUUAGUAGGACGUCGCGAUCCGUUCGAGAUCGGCGUACGGCCGGCGGGUUAGUCCGCGAGACCUUCGUGUCUUGCGGGUCCGUCGUGUCCCGGUCGAUUUCGGACGGUAUACGUGGGGCAUAGGCCGCGAUUCGAUCGCGUUCGUCCCCUCGCAAGCGCCGGCGGUAGUUCGGUGGUCGGACCUCGUGCCGAUCCCGGAUCCGUCGGGUUGUUGGCGAGGGUGUUCUCGAACAGACCGUUACGCGCCCGUCCGCGACGCUUUUGCUUUGGGUAGUCUCGGGGCCCGUCUUGAAACACGGACCAAGGAGUCUAGCAUGUACGCGAGUCGUUGGGACUUACGAAACCCAUAGGCGAAAUGAAAGUGAAGGCCCGCCUUGCGCGAGCCGAGGGCCGAUGGGCGAUCCGUCGCGGUCGUCCCGCAGGCCCGAGACGUUCCGAACUCGUUUCGAGUUGGAGCGUACUCAGAGCGUACACGCUGGGACCCGAAAGAUGGUGAACUAUGCCUGGUCAGGACGAAGUCAGGGGAAACCCUGAUGGAGGUCCGUAGCGAUUCUGACGUGCAAAUCGAUCGUAAG